rnacentral:rRNA from 1 species
UGGGGAAUAUUGGACAAUGGGGGGAACCCUGAUCCAGCCAUGCCGCGUGUGUGAAGAAGGCCUUAUGGUUGUAAAGCACUUUAAGCGAGGAGGAGGGUACUGGUAUUAAUACUACCAGGUACUGGACGUUACUCGCAGAAUAAGCACCGGCUAACUCUGUGCCAGCAGCCGCGGUAAUACAGAGGGUGCGAGCGUUAAUCGGAUUUACUGGGCGUAAAGCGUGCGUAGGCGGCUAAUUGAGUCGGAUGUGAAAUCCCCGAGCUUAACUUUGGAAUUGCAUUCGAUACUGGUUAGCUAGAGUGUGGGAGAGGUUGGUAGAAUUCCAGGUGUAGCGGUGAAAUGCGUAGAGAUCUGGAGGAAUACCGAUGGCGAAGGCAGCCAUCUGGCCUAACACUGACGCUGAGGUACGAAAGCAUGGGGAGCAAACAGG